rnacentral:rRNA from 1 species
UACGUAGGUGACCAGCGUUGUCCGGAUUUACUGGGCGUAAAGAGCGCGCAGGCGGUCGUUCAAGUCGAGUGUGAAAGCCCCCGGCUCAACUGGGGAGGGUCACUCGAUACUGAUCGACUUGAAGGCAGGAGAGGGAAGCGGAAUUCCCGGUGUAAUGGUGAAAUGCGCAGAUAUCGGGAGGAACACCAAUGGCGAAGGCAGCUCGCUGGGACGGUACUGAACGCUGAGACGGCGAAAGCGUGGGGAGCAAACAGGGAUUAAGAA